GUGUGCAAAUGUCAAAACUAACUUGCUGUUUGGCUUUGUUGGUAUUAAAUCUACUACACUUCCCCACCCCCCACACCCCACACCCACCCACCACCAAACCCCCCCCUGGGGUCCCUCCUCUUCUGUCUGUCUCUGUCUCUGGUCCUUAGCCACAAGUUUCUAUAUUUUUGUCAAUGAGAAAAAGUUCUAGUCCAGUUAUUCCUUUCUAAAACGUCUAUGAUAAUUAGUGUUUUAUACCAUAGUUAUUAAAGGCGCGC
rnacentral:misc_RNA from 1 species